CCCAUCUUGAGCCACCAUGGUAGACACCUUUCAAGGCAUACUCACUACCAUAUUAUGAUAAUGUAAGAGGCAGGACACCCCUAGCCCCUAUCCCCUUCCCAUGUUCCAUGUUUCCACCCAUGGCUUGUUGCCGACCUAAGUUAUGUACUGAUCUUUCUGAUGACUUAUGACAGAGACUGCCCCGUAUCCGAUUAACUGAUACAGGAGUUCGUAUAUUAUUAAAAUCGCUCCAAGGAACAUGCAGUCUUAUCUCUACAGAACAAAUAUGAUAUGAUUAACCGCACGAACUGUUAUAUGACCCCAUUAUGUAUACAUUGAAUGCCAC